UACGAAGGGGGCUAGCGUUGUCCGGAUUGACUGGGCGUAAAGCGCACGCAGGCGGGGGUGCGCGUGGGGUGUGAAAUCUGGCCGCUUAACGGCCAGGCGCCAUCCCAUACGGCACGCCUGGAGCCUUGCAGAGGUCGGUGGAAUUGCCGGUGUAGUGGUGAAAUGCGUAGAGAUCGGGCAGGAACACCCAGGGGGGAAACCAGCCGACUGGGCAAGUGCUGACGCUGAGGUGCGAGAGCGUGGGGAGCGAACCGG
rnacentral:rRNA from 1 species